rnacentral:rRNA from 1 species
UACGGAGGGUGCGAGCGUUAAUCGGAAUUACUGGGCGUAAAGGGUGCGUAGGUGGUUGGAUAAGUUAUCUGUGAAAGCCCCGGGCUCAACCUGGGAAGGUCAGAUAAGACUGUUUGACUCGAGUAUAGGAGAGGGUAGUGGAAUUUCCGGUGUAGCGGUGAAAUGCGUAGAGAUCGGAAGGAACACCAGUGGCGAAGGCGGCUACCUGGCCUGAUACUGACACUGAAGCACGAAAGCGUGGGGAGCAAACAGG